rnacentral:rRNA from 1 species
UGCCAGCCGCCGCGGUAAUACAGAGGGUGCAAACGUUGUUCGGAAUCACUGGGCAUAAAGCGCACGUAGGCGGCAAUGUAAGUGUGGAGUGAAAGCCCACGGCUCACCCGUGGAAUUGCUCUGCAGACUGCAUUGCUCGAGGAUGGUAGGGGAGAGCGGAACUCCUGGUGGAGCGGUGAAAUGCGUAGAUAUCAGGAGGAACACCGGUGGCGAAGGCGGCUCUCUGGUCCAUUUCUGACGCUGAGGUGCGAAAGCUAGGGUAGCGAACGGGAUUAGAUA